GAUGAACGCUGGCGGCGUGCCUAACACAUGCAAGUCGAACGAAGCACUUCGAUUUCCUCGGAAUGAAAAAGUGACUGAGUGGCGGACGGGUGAGUAACGCGUGGGUAACCUGCCUCAUACAGGGGGAUAACAGUUGGAAACGACUGCUAAUACCGCAUAACACAUCGAGGGGGCAUCCCAUGAUGUCAAAGAUUUAUCGCUGAAAGAUGGGCUCGCGUCUGAUUAGCUAGUUGGUGGGGUAACGGCCUACCAAGGCGACGAUCAGUAGCCGGACUGAGAGGUUGAACGGCCACAUUGGGACUGAGAUACGGGCCCAGACUCCUACGGGAGCAGCAGUGGGGAAUAUUGGGCAAUGGGGGCAACCCUGACCCAGCAACGCCGCGUGAAGGAAGAAGGCUUUCGGGUU
rnacentral:rRNA from 1 species